rnacentral:misc_RNA from 1 species
AACGCACAUUGCGCCCGUCAGUAUUCUGGCGGGCAUGCCUGUUCGAGCGUCAUUUCAACCCUCAGGCCCCCUAGGGCGCGCCUGGUGUUGGGGAUCGGCGGCUGGGUGGGAUGGUCUCUCCUCCUGGGGGAGAGCCGCCUGCCCGCACCCGCCGCCCCCGAAAUGAAUUGGCGGUCUCGUCGCGGCCUCCUCUGCGUAGUAGCACAACCUCGCAGCAGGGAGCGCGGCGCGGCCACUGCCGUAAAACGCACCAAAACUCCUCAGAGUUGACCUCGAAUCAGGUAGGACUACCCGCUGAACUUAA